ensembl:lncRNA
CCAUCCACUAAGACCAGAGAUCAUAUCCACUCUCUCUCUUCAUCCACUAAGACCAGAGAUCAUAUCCACUCUAUCUCUUCAUCCACUAAGAACAGAGAUCAUAUCCACUCUCUCUCUUCAUCUACUAAGACCAUAUAUCAUAUCCACUCUCUCUCUCUUCAUCCACUAAGACCAUAGAUCAUAUCCACUCUCUCUCUUCAUCCACUAAGACCAUAGAUCAUAUCCACUCUCUCCCUCCAUCCACUAAGACCAGAGAUCAUAUCCACUCUCUCCCUCCAUCCACUAAGACCAUAGAUCAUAUCCACUCUCUCCCUCCAUCCACUAAGACCAGAGAUCAUAUCCACUCUCUCCCUCCAUCCACUAAGACCAGAGAUCAUAUCCACUCUCUCUCUCCAUCCACUAAGACCAUAGAUCAUAUGCACUCUCUCCCUCCAUCCACUAAGACCAUAGAUCAUAUCCUCGCUCUCUCUUCAUCUACUAAGACCAGAGGUCAUAUCCACUCUCUCCCUCCAUCUACUAAGACCAGAGAUCAUAUCCACUCUCUCCCUCCAUCCACUAAGACCAUAUAUCAUAUCCACUCUCUCUCUCUUCAUCCACUAAGACCAUAGAUCAUAUCCACUCUCUCCCUCCAUCUACUAAGACCAGAGAUCAUAACCACUCUCUCCCUCCAUCUACUAAGACCAGAGAUCAUAUCCACUCUCUCCCUGCAUCCACUAAGACCAGAGAUCAUAUCCACUCUCUCCCUCCAUCUACUAAGACCAGAGAUCAUAUCCACUCUCUCUCUUCAUCCACUAAGACCAGAGAUCAUAUCCACUCUCUCUCUUCAUCCACUAAGACCAGAGAUCAUAUCCACUCUCUCCCUCCAUCUACUAAGACCAGAGAUCAUAUCCACUCUCUCCCUCCAUCUACUAAGACCAGAGAUCAUAUCCACUCUCUCCCUGCAUCCACUAAGACCAGAGAUCAUCUCCACUCUCUGGUCCAGGCUCUUACACCUGCCUUUAUCUCAUCUACAUUAUUAACCACAGUUCUCCUCCUUCCAUCUUGUUUCUGAGGAGAUGCUAAUGAAUGAGGCAGGAUGCCUGUUAAACACCUCUCUUUCCAUGGCACAGAUCUGCCAACAGUGAUUAAAGCGAAGAACAGGCCAGCAGGUUACCAUUCAUCAGGAGAGAGAAGGAGAGAACCGGGCUACAGUACAGCCACCAUCAUCAUCAACCAUCAUUUCUCAUCAUCUAUCUAACCCACCCAGAACAGAGCUGAGGCAUGGUGGUGGCCUACUUUACAGGUAGGUACUGUAGUUCACUCACAGCACAGAGACAAACAGCACGCACACCCAGCCCAGAGCCCUAGUCAUUGAGAGCUGUGAGCAGAGAGCAGUGUAGCACUCCAUAAACCUGCUCUCUCUAAGCAGAUGACUGCUUAUUCCACACACUUAUUCCUAACGGUUAAUUAGGAAAUGAAACCCAGUCA